rnacentral:rRNA from 1 species
GCGUAAAGAGCUCGUAGGCGGUUUGUCGCGUCUGCUGUGAAAGCCCGGGGCUUAACCCCGGGUGUGCAGUGGGUACGGGCAGACUUGAGUGCAGUAGGGGAGACUGGAACUCCUGGUGUAGCGGUGAAAUGCGCAGAUAUCAGGAAGAACACCGAUGGCGAAGGCAGGUCUCUGGGCUGUUACUGACGCUGAGGAGCGAAAGCAUGGGGAGCGAACAGGAUUAGAUACCCUGGUAGUCCAUGCCGUAAACGUUGGGCACUAGGUGUGGGGGACAUUCCACGUUUUCCGCGCCGUAGCUAACGCAUUAAGUGCCCCGCCUGGGGAGUACGGCCGCAAGGCUAAAACUCAAAGGAAUUGACGGGGGCCCGCACAAGCGGCGGAGCAUGCGGAUUAAUUCGAUGCAACGCGAAGAACCUUACCAAGGCUUGACAUACACCGGAUCGGCUCAGAGAUGGGUUUUCCUCCUUGUGGGGCUGGUGUACAGGUGGUGCAUGGUUGUCGUCAGCUCGUGUCGUGAGAUGUUGGGUUAAGUCCCGCAACGAGCGCAACCCUCGUUCUAUGUUGCCAGCACGUGAUGGUGGGGACUCAUAGGAGACUGCCGGGGUCAACUCGGAGGAAGGUGGGGAUGACGUCAAAUCAUCAUGCCCCUUAUGUCUUGGGCUUCACGCAUGCUACAAUGGCCAGUACAAUGGGUUGCGAUACCGUGAGGUGGAGCUAAUCCCAAAAAGCUGGUCUCAGUUCGGAUCGUGGUCUGCAACUCGACCACGUGAAGUCGGAGUCGCUAGUAAUCGCAGAUCAGCAACGCUGCGGUGAAUACGUUCCCGGGCCUUGUACACACCGCCCGUCAAGUCACGAAAGUUGGUAACACCCGAAGCCGGUGGCCUAACCCUUGGGGGGAGCCUCGAAGGGG